rnacentral:rRNA from 1 species
AGGAGGAAGGUAGUGUAGUUAACACCUGCAUUAUUUGACGUUACCUACAGAAGAAGACACCGGCUAACUCCGUGCCAGCAGCCGCGGUAAUACGGGAGGGUGCGAGCGUUAAUACGGAAUUACGUGGGACGUAAAGCGCAUGCAGGCGGCCUGUUAAGUCAGAUGUAGAAACGGCCCGGGGACCGUUUAACCCGUACGGUAAAGUUGCUAUUUAGUAAACGUGGCGAGGCUAGAGUCUUGUAGAGGGGGGUAGGAAUUUCAGGUGUAGCGGUGAAAUGCGUAGAGAUCUGAAGGAAUACCAGUGGCGAAGGCGGCCCCCUGGACAAAGACUGACGCUCAGAUGCGAAAGCGUGGGGAGCAAACAGGAUUAGAUACCCUGGUAG